AUUGAACGCUGGCGGCAGGCCUAACACAUGCAAGUCGGGCGAGCGGCGGACGGGUGAGUAAUGUCUGGGGAUCUGCCUGGUAGAGGGGGAUAACGUCCGGAAACGGGCGCUAAUACCGCAUACUAUCGGAUGAGCCUAGGUGGGAUUAGCUAGUUGGUGGGGUCAAGGCUUACCAAGGCGACGAUCCGUACCUGGUCUGAGAGGAUGAUCAGUCACACUGGAACUGAGACACGGUCCAGACUCCUACGGGAGGCAGCAGUGGGGAAUAUUGCACAAUGGGCGCAAGCCUGAUUCAGCCAUGCCGCGUGUAUGAAGAAGGCCUUCGGGUUGUAAAGUACUUUCAGUCGGGAGGCGGGACCCAAAGAAGAAGCACCGGCGAACUCCGUGCCAGCCGCCGCGGUAAUUA
rnacentral:rRNA from 1 species